AAGUCGUAACAAGGUUUCCGUAGGUGAACCUGCGGAAGGAUCAUUACAGAGUUCAUGCCCGAAAGGGUAGACCUCCCACCCUUGUGUAUUAAUACAGUGUUGCUUUGGCGGGCCGCUCCCGAGCUAUCAGCGUCAGCUGGUACGUGCCCGCCAGAGGCUCCCUAAACUCUGAUGUUAGUGUCGUCUGAGUACUAUUUUAAUAGUUAAAACUUUCAACAACGGAUCUCUUGGUUCUG
rnacentral:misc_RNA from 1 species